rnacentral:misc_RNA from 1 species
CAAUACGUUACCACGUAUAAACCCAAAUGUUGAACUGUAUGCGUCCGAUAGGAAAUGAUUGGUGGUGGCCGGCGGCUUGGAGGUUGGAAUCACUUUUUAAUCAAAACACAUUCGAGAAAUCGGUGGUUUUGAGGUGAUCAAAAGUGCCUCGGUCGGUCGUUCUGUUUUGCUUUGCUUUCUUCGUAAAGUAGACAGAAGCCCUUUCCUAGUUCGCGCAUUGAAUUUUCCAAUUUCAAACACUUUUGCAUCGCCUUUUUUGUCUUUUUUUUAACCCAUUUCACCUUUACGAUUAACAAUCAACGAACUAAAUCGAGAACAGUCUUAACCGACUAUUCUUGCGAUAUUACGAAACUUAAGAA